rnacentral:rRNA from 1 species
AGAGUUUGAGUUAUGGCUCGAGAACGAACGCUGGCGGCAGGUCUUAGGCAUGCAAGUCGAACGGAUGACAGAGAGCUUGCUCUCUGAAGUCAGUGGCGCACGAGUGAGUAACGCGUGGGAAACUGCCCUUCACUGGGGAAUAACGUUUGGAAACGAACGCUAAUACCGCAUACGCCCGCAAGGGGAAAGAUUUAUCGGUGAUGGAUGUGCCCGCGUUGGAUUAGCUAGUUGGUGGGGUAAUGGCCUACCAAGGCGAUGAUCCAUAGCUGGUCUGAGAGGACGAUCAGCCACGCUGGAACUGAGACACGGUCCAGACUCCUACGGGAGGCAGCAGCUAAGAAUAUUGGGCAAUGGAGGAAACUCUGACCCAGCCCCAUGCCGCGUGAAUGAAGGAGGCCUUCGGGUUGUAAAGUUCUUUUAGUCAUGAAGAUGAUGACAGUAGUGACAGAAAAAGCACCGGCUAACUUCGUGCCAGCCGCCGC